rnacentral:tRNA from 1 species
UCCUUGGUGGUCCAAUGGUCAGGACUCCAUGCUUUCACUGCCAAGGGCACAGGUUUGAUUCCUGGUCAGGGAA